AGCAGGCGGCGCGGGAGGCCGUGGAGCUGUUCAACACGCACAGCCCCUACCGGGCCCGCUUCCGCCUCACGCGCGUCCUCAAGGCGCAGAGGAAGCUGGAUAAAGAUGUCUUCUAUUACCUGUUGCUCGAGUUGGAGAGCACAGUCUGUCCGAACAUCGUUAAUGGGGAAGACACGGACCUCCCAGACCCCAACACCUGUCCCCUGGCUCCAGGAGCAGAGCAGCAGAAGCUGCACUGCGAUUUUAAGAUGCACUUGAGGAACACGUCAGAAAUUACAUGGGAAGACUGUAUCGCCGCGUAGUCGGCCCAUGAGGGGGCUGGGUGGGG